rnacentral:rRNA from 1 species
UACGUAGGGUGCAAGCGUUGUCCGGAAUUAUUGGGCGUAAAGAGCUCGUAGGCGGUCUGUCGCGUCUGCUGUGAAAACUCGGGGCUUAACCCCGGGCCUGCAGUGGGUACGGGCAGACUAGAGUGCGGUAGGGGAGACUGGAAUUCCUGGUGUAGCGGUGAAAUGCGCAGAUAUCAGGAGGAACACCGGUGGCGAAGGCGGCGACCUGGGCCAAUACUGACGCUGAGGUGCGAAAGCGUGGGGAGCAAACAGG